rnacentral:rRNA from 1 species
CCUACGGGAGGCAGCAGUUUCGAAUCGUUCACAAUGGGGGCAACCCUGAUGGCGCGACGCCGCGUGGGGGAUGAAGGUCUUCGGAUUGUAAACUCCUGUCAUUGGGGACUAAUGGCCAGGCUCAUACCCUGGUUUGAAUUAACCCAAAGAGGAAGCAGUGGCUAACUCUGUGCCAGCAGCCGCGGUAAUACAGAGACUGCAAGCGUUACUCGGAUUCACUGGGCGUAAAGGGAGCGCAGGCGGACUCAUGUGUCGGACGUGAAAUACCGGGGCUUAACCCCGGUGCUGCGCCCGAAACUAUGAGUCUAGAGACUUGGAGGGUAAGCGGAAUUCUUGGUGGAGCAGUGAAAUGCGUAGAUAUCAAGAGGAACACCAACGGCGAAGGCAGCUUACUGGACAAGAUCUGACGCUCAGGCUCGAAAGCGUGGGGAGCAAAAGGGAUUAGAUACCCUGUAGUCCACGCUGUAAACGGUGCGCAUUAGGUCUUGGAGCUUUCGAACGCUCCAGGGCUCAAGCUAACGCGAUAAAUGCGCCGCCUGAGGACUACGGCCGCAAGGCAAAACGUCAAAGGAAUUGACGG